UACGUAGGGGGCAAGCGUUGUCCGGAUUUAUUGGGCGUAAAGAGCGUGUAGGCGGCUUGACAGGUCUGCUGUGAAAACUCGAGGCUCAACCUCGAGAUGUCGGCGGAAACCGUCUGGCUAGAGUCCGGAAGAGGAGAGUGGAAUUCCUGGUGUAGCGGUGAAAUGCGCAGAUAUCAGGAGGAACACCGGUGGCGAAGGCGGUUCUCUGGGCAUUACCUGACGCUGAGGAGCGAAAGUGUGGGGAGCGAACAGG
rnacentral:rRNA from 1 species